ensembl:snRNA U6 U6 spliceosomal RNA
GUGCUCACUUCGGCAGCACAAAUACUAAAAUUGAAAUGAUACAGAGUAGAUUAGUAUGGCCCCUUGAGCAAGGAUGACAUGCAAAUUCGUGAAGCAUUCCAUACUUAA